GUCUACGUGACAAGAGAUGGACGAAAACGGUGACCACAUGGGCGGGUCCACAGGGAAAAAGAAAGAGAGGUAGACCUGUAGCUAGUUGGGAAGAUGACAUCAAAAAAACAGCUGGCCCCAACUGGAUUCAAGUAGCCCAAUCUAGAGAGGAGUGGCUAUCUUUGGAGGAGGCCUUCACCUACAGAGGAGUUCUUACAGAAUGAAGAAUAAUAAUAUAGGAUUAAGGAAAAACUAACACAAGUAAAUUUUAGGAACCAAAGUUAAUUACUAACAAAACUAAUAAUUGUAUGUAGGUAAACUAACAUAAUCUAAUAUAACUUCAUGUUUUAUAAGCUGUAAGAAAUAAAAGGCUUUUUUAU